rnacentral:rRNA from 1 species
AUUGAACGCUGGCGGCAGGCCUAACCCAUGCAAGUCGAACGAGUGGCGGACGGGUGAGUAAUGUCUGGGAAACUGCCCGAUGGAGGGGGAUAACUACUGGAAACGGUAGCUAAUACCGCAUACCAUCGGAUGUGCCCAGAUGGGAUUAGCUACUAGGUGGGGUAACGUCUCACCUAGGCGACGAUCCCUAGCUGGUCUGAGAGGAUGACCAGCACCACUGGAAAUGAGAAACGGUCCAGACUCCUACGGGAGGAAGCAGUGGGGAAUAUGGCAAAAUGGGCGCAAGCGUGAUGCAGCCAGGCCGCGUGUAGGAAGAAGGCCUUCGGGGUGUAAAGUACGUGCAGCGAGGAGGCGUUACUCGCAGAAGAAGCAUCGGCUAACUCCGGGCCAGCCGCCGCGGUAAUAC